AAUGGAAUUAUUAAUUUUUCUCUACAGAAUUUUGUAAACUAUUAGCAACAGCGUGUGACCCUAUCAUCAUGAUAUUUUUCUACUGAAAGUCUAGAACUGAAAUUCUCAGCCACCAAGCCUGACACCCACAGUAGGACAUUCACUGUGAAGAAUCUGGUGCAACAAGAUAAAUGCUUUCAUUUCUUUAAAGCUCGAGAUGAAAAAAAAACAAAAACUGCUGUACUGCUCUACUGUAGGGGGACCUCAAGUACAACCAGAGAUCAUCAUAAUACAGCGACACUUCCACCUCUAACUCUUCGUAUCUCCGUUAUGUCACACCUCCCAUCACUCAGACUGACAGUCACUGUCACUCUGGAUCAUUUUGCUCAGAACACAAUAAUGAUCACAGCUGGUCUGAUCAAACUCUCUGCAGCUCUGCUCUGUAUUAUGGGUCUGAUUGAUGGGAGUGAUGUCACCCAGACCCCCCUUCUACUGUGGGGGUAUGUGGAUCAGACUGCCACAAUGAACUGCAGUCACACUAAGGGAAGUACAUAUCGACAGAUGUACUGGUACAGACAGCUACCAGGACAGGCAAUGAGGCAAAUAGUCUUCACAACUGCAUACAGCGCUCAUGAAUAUCAAAAUGGCUUCAGUGAGGACAGAUUUCCUGCAAAGAAGAACAAUGCUGAGACUGGAUCUUUGACAGUGAAGAAGCUGCUGUCUGAGGACAGUGGAGUGUAUUUUUGUGCCGUGAGUGAACACAGUGAUACAGGUGACUUAGACAGCUGUACAAAUACCCAACUGCUGGUGUCACUGUCAAGAAUAAAAGACAGCUGUCUCUUUAAUGAACUGUAGAGGGAACCAUACACAAAUGGUUACACUAAUCUUU